rnacentral:rRNA from 1 species
UCAAGCGAACAAGUGCAUGUGGUGGAUGCCUUGGCGAUCACAGGCGAUGAAGGACGCGGUAGCCUGCGAAAAGCCCCGGGGAGCUGGCAAACAAGCUUUGAUCCGGGGAUGUCCGAAUGGGGAAACCCACUCCGUAUGGAGUAUCCAUGACUGAAUACAUAGGUCAUGUGAAGCGAACGCGGUGAACUGAAACAUCUAAGUAACCGCAGGAAAAGAAAUCAACCGAGAUUCCCAAAGUAGUGGCGAGCGAAAUGGGAUGAGCCUUGUACUCUUUAUUUGUAUUGUUAGCCGAACGCUCUGGAAAGUGCGGCCAUAGCAGGUGAUAGCCCUGUAGGCGAAAACAGUAUGAAAGAACUAGGUGUACGACAAGUAGGGCGGGACACGUGAAAUCCUGUCUGAAGAUGGGGGGACCAUCCUCCAAGGCUAAAUACUCGUGAUCGACCGAUAGUGAACCAGUACCGUGAGGGAAAGGCGAAAAGAACCCCGGGAGGGGAGUGAAAUAGAUCCUGAAACCGCAUGCAUACAAACAGUCGGAGCCUCGUAAGGGGUGACGGCGUACCUUUUGUAUAAUGGGUCAGCGACUUACGUUCAGUAGCAAGCUUAACCGUAUAGGGCAGGCGUAGCGAAAGCGAGUCCGAAUAGGGCGUUCAGUUGCUGGGCGUAGACCCGAAACCAGGUGAUCUAUCCAUGGCCAGGAUGAAGGUGCGGUAACACGUACUGGAGGUCCGAACCCACUAACGUUGAAAAGUUAGGGGAUGAGCUGUGGAUAGGGGUGAAAGGCUAAACAAACCUGGAAAUAGCUGGUUCUCUCCGAAAACUAUUUAGGUAGUGCCUCGUGUCUCACCUUCGGGGGUAGAGCACUGUCAUGGUUGGGGGGUCUAUUGCAGAUUACCCCGCCAUAGCAAACUCCGAAUACCGAAGAGUGCAAUCACGGGAGACAGACAUCGGGUGCUAACGUCCGGUGUCAAGAGGGAAACAACCCAGACCGCCAGCUAAGGUCCCCAAAUAUGGCUAAGUGGGAAACGAAGUGGGAAGGCUAAAACAGUCAGGAGGUUGGCUUAGAAGCAGCCACCCUUUAAAGAAAGCGUAAUAGCUCACUGAUCGAGUCGUCCUGCGCGGAAGAUGUAACGGGGCUAAGCCAUAUACCGAAGCUGCGGAUGCGUGCUUGCACGCAUGGUAGGAGAGCGUUCCGUAAGCCUGCGAAGGUGCCUUGUAAAGGGUGCUGGAGGUAUCGGAAGUGCGAAUGCUGACAUGAGUAGCGAUAAAGGGGGGUGAAAGGCCCCCUCGCCGUAAGCCCAAGGUUUCCUACGCAACGUUCAUCGGCGUAGGGUGAGUCGGCCCCUAAGGCGAGGCAGAAAUGCGUAGCUGAUGGGAAGCAGGUCAAUAUUCCUGCACCGUCGUUAGAUGCGAUGGGGGGACGGAUCGCGGAAGGUUGUCCGGGUGUUGGACGUCCCGGUCGCUGCAUUGGAGAAGGCGCUUAGGCAAAUCCGGGCGCAGGAUUCAAGGGUGUGGCGCGAGCGACUUCGGUCGCGAAGCAAUUGGAAGUGGUUCCAAGAAAAGCCUCUAAGCUUCAGUCUAACGAUGACCGUACCGCAAACCGACACAGGUGGGCGAGAUGAGUAUUCUAAGGCGCUUGAGAGAACUCGGGAGAAGGAACUCGGCAAAUUGGUACCGUAACUUCGGGAUAAGGUACGCCCUUGUAGCUUGACCAGCCUGCGCUGGAAGGGUGAAGGGGUUGCAAUAAACUGGUGGCUGCGACUGUUUAAUAAAAACACAGCACUCUGCAAACACGAAAGUGGACGUAUAGGGUGUGACGCCUGCCCGGUGCCGGAAGAUUAAAUGAUGGGGUGCAAGCUCUUGAUUGAAGUCCCGGUAAACGGCGGCCGUAACUAUAACGGUCCUAAGGUAGCGAAAUUCCUUGUCGGGUAAGUUCCGACCUGCACGAAUGGCGUAACGAUGGCCACACUGUCUCCUCCCGAGACUCAGCGAAGUUGAAGUGUUUGUGAUGAUGCAAUCUACCCGCGGCUAGACGGAAAGACCCCAUGAACCUUUACUGUAGCUUUGCAUUGGACUUUGAACCGAUCUGUGUAGGAUAGGUGGGAGGCUAUGAAACCGGAACGCUAGUUUCGGUGGAGCCGUCCUUGAAAUACCACCCUGGUUUGUUUGAGGUUCUAACCUUGGUCCGUGAUCCGGAUCGGGGACAGUGCAUGGUAGGCAGUUUGACUGGGGCGGUCUCCUCCCAAAGGGUAACGGAGGAGUACGAAGGUACGCUAGGUACGGUCGGAAAUCGUGCUGAUAGUGCAAUGGCAUAAGCGUGCUUAACUGCGAGACCGACAAGUCGAGCAGGUGCGAAAGCAGGUCAUAGUGAUCCGGUGGUUCUGUAUGGAAGGGCCAUCGCUCAACGGAUAAAAGGUACUCUGGGGAUAACAGGCUGAUACCGCCCAAGAGUUCAUAUCGACGGCGGUGUUUGGCACCUCGAUGUCGGCUCAUCUCAUCCUGGGGCUGUAGCCGGUCCCAAGGGUAUGGCUGUUCGCCAUUUAAAGAGGUACGUGAGCUGGGUUUAAAACGUCGUGAGACAGUUUGGUCCCUAUCUGCCGUGGGCGUUGGAUAUUUGAAGGGGGCUGCUCCUAGUACGAGAGGACCGGAGUGGACGAACCUCUGGUGUACCGGUUGUGACGCCAGUCGCAUCGCCGGGUAGCUAUGUUCGGAAGAGAUAACCGCUGAAAGCAUCUAAGCGGGAAACUCGCCUUAAGAUGAGAUAUCCCUGGAGGCUUGACCUCCUUGAAGGGUCGUUCGAGACCAGGACGUUGAUAGGUCGGGUGUGUAAGCGCAGUAAUGCGUUCAGCUAACCGAUACUAAUUGCCCGUAAGGCUUGAUC